AAAUUGAACGCUGGCGGAAUGCUUUACACAUGCAAGUCGAGCGGCAGCGCGGGGCAACCUGGCGGCGAGCGGCGAACGGGUGAGUAAUGCAUCGGAACAUGUCCAUGUCGUGGGGGAUAGCCCGGCGAAAGCCGGAUUAAUACCGCAUACGAUCUAAGGAUGAAAGUGGGGGAUUCGCAAGAACCUCAUGCUCCUGGAGCGGCCGAUAUCUGAUUAGCUAGUUGGUGGGGUAAAGGCCUACCAAGGCAUCGAUCAGUAGCUGGUCUGAGAGGACGACCAGCCACACUGGAACUGAGACACGGUCCAGACUCCUACGGGAGCAGCAGUGGGAUUUGGACAUGGCAAAGCCUGAUCCAGCAAUGCCGCGUGAGUGAAGAAGGCCUUGGUUGUAAGUCUCUUUUGUCGAGGAAGAAACGGUGAGAGUACUAAUA
rnacentral:rRNA from 1 species